rnacentral:rRNA from 1 species
UACGGAGGAUCCAAGCGUUAUCCGGAUUUAUUGGGUUUAAAGGGUGCGUAGGCGGCCAGUUAAGUCAGGGGUGAAAGACGGUAGCUCAACUAUCGCAGUGCCUUUGAUACUGAUUGGCUUGAAUGUACUUGAGGUAGGCGGAAUGUGACAAGUAGCGGUGAAAUGCAUAGAUAUGUCACAGAACACCAAUUGCGAAGGCAGCUUACUAAAGUAUAACUGACGCUGAGGCACGAAAGUGCGGGGAUCAAACAGG